rnacentral:rRNA from 1 species
AACGAACGCUGGCGGCAGGCUUAACACAUGCAAGUCGAACGCAUCCUUCGGGGUGAGUGGCAGACGGGUGAGUAACGCGUGGGAACGUGCCCUUCAGUUCGGGAUAACCCAGGGAAACUUGGGCUAAUACCGGAUACGUGCGAGAGCAGAAAGAUUUAUCGCUGAAGGAUCGGCCCGUGUCUGAUUAGCUAGUUGGUGGGGUAAUGGCCCACCAAGGCGACGAUCAGUAGCUGGUCUGAGAGGAUGAUCAGCCACAUUGGGACUGAGACACGGCCCAAACUCCUACGGGAGGCAGCAGUGGGGAAUAUUGGACAAUGGGCGCAAGCCUGAUCCAGCCAUGCCGCGUGAGUGAUGAAGGCGUUAGGGUUUUAAAGCUCUUUCGUCCGGGACGAUAAUGACGGUACCGGAAGAAGAAGCCGCGGCUAACUUCGUGCCAGCCGCCGCGGUAA